CCAGUUGUGGUGCAAGAUAUUGUAAUUUUGGGAGAGGAAAGUACUGUUCUCCCGGUCUACUCCAGCUGUGAUCUGUCAGGAAGAGCAGCUUCCACCAUCCUACAUGAUCCCCAAACUCAGAAAAGUGCCAGUCAAACGCCUUCCUGGGGUUCCUACGGCCUGACAGAAGAGCUUUGGGGCAACCAUGGCUGGCUGCAAAAGGGGAAGACCAAACAACCCAAAUGUUCCCCAAUGACCAAGGGGAACCACAGCAGACAUACCAACAGGAAAGGCAGGACAUGAUAAUCGCUGCUUUCCCCCACAAAUGUCAAGUUUAAAUUCUGUCCAUCACCCUUUUAUCUUUUACAUAAACAGUAGGGUGCAACUUAGGAAAGUGA